rnacentral:piRNA from 1 species
GUGUUUACUUUUCACUGGGUA